rnacentral:misc_RNA from 1 species
CGUUCUGCCGCAUCCAGAGCAUCCAAACCGCAUCCAACGCCCCUGCCGCAUCCCGCGUCCCUCCCGCACUCGUCCCUGCCGCAGCCCCCGCGAUCCCCUUCCCACGCAUGGCGUUCCUGCCGCAGCCCCCGCGAUCCCCUUCCCACGCACGCAUGGCGUUCCUGCCGCAGCCCCCGCAACCCCCGCGAUCCCGCCUGCCAAGCAUGGCGUCGCCGCGGCCGUUGCCCCCGCGACCCCCUUCCUCAAUUCCGCGCGUCUAUGGCCGUCUCUCUCGCCCUCGCUCUCCUCUCUGCUGUCUGCACCCACGCGACAUGGAAGGAGAUCGUCUUCGCUGCGCCAAAUCGAGAAAUCCGCGUCCGCUAUGGAAGGGAUCGACAUCAGUAUCCGCGUCCGCAGCGCCAAAUUGAGGAACCCGCGCCCCAAAUCGAGAAAUCCGCCUCCGCUAUGGAAGGAGAUCGCCUCGGCUGCGCCUCGACUCUCGAUCGGCAUCAUCGCCCGCGUCCGCUGUGCCCCUACUUUAAUUCUGUCUCCUGUCCUCCUGCCGUGCCUGUUUCCUCACUUGUGCGCCACCAACCAGGAGGACGCUCGCCGUUGUCUCCGGCGCGGUGCUUGCCGGUGGAGCUCUGGCGUACGCCCGCUCAAGCCAGAGCCGCCAGCGGAGGAGGCGAGUCGCAGCGGCGGAGCCGGUGCAUUGGCCGCCAAUGGGGAUGGUUUCAGCCAGAACGGUGCCGGCGGUGGAUUGGCUGCAGCGGACCAGAGGGGAGCCCUCUACCUAUUUAUUUAUUGUAUAUCUAUAAAAAUGAAGAAAGUUACAUAUGUACAAAAUUAUAACAGAGGAAGAUACAAGAGUAGUGUCUCUCCAAAGGGUGAGGGGAUCUCUUCUACUCUGAUUCGCUUCGACGCACCAAGCUAAGCUCCUGUUUCGUCUUUUCCAAAUAUUGAAGUUACAGGUAGCAUUGUUAAAGAUAAUGCUAUUAAUUGAGAGUAGUCCAAAUAAUCAAACCACCUUUAAUAUUUAUUUCUCUUUAAAUUAAAUCACCGAAGUUUGUCCUGGCUUCAAUCAUCAUGUCUAGAGGUGGCAGACUCAGAUCACAUUGGAUGGGAAUU